GCCCUUCGGUUCGGAAUAACUCCAGGGAAACUUGAGCUAAUACCGGAUACGCCCUUUUGGGGAAAGGUUUACUGCCGAAGGAUCGGCCCGCGUCUGAUUAGCUAGUUGGUGGGGUAACGGCCUACCAAGGCGACGAUCAGUAGCUGGUCUGAGAGGAUGAUCAGCCACACUGGGACUGAGACACGGCCCAGACUCCUACGGGAGGCAGCAGUGGGGAAUAUUGGACAAUGGGCGCAAGCCUGAUCCAGCCAUGCCGCGUGAGUGAUGAAGGCCUUAGGGUUGUAAAGCUCUUUUGUCCGGGACGAUAAUGACGGUACCGGAAGAAUAAGCCCCGGCUAACUUCGUGCCAGCAGCCGCGGUAAUACGAAGGGGGCUAGCGUUGCUCGGAAUCACUGGGCGUAAAGGGCGCGUAGGCGGCUUUUUAAGUCGGGGGUGAAAGCCUGUGGCUCAACCACAGAAUUGCCUUCGAUACUGGAAAGCUUGAGACCGGAAGAGGACAGCGGAACUGCGAGUGUAGAGGUGAAAUUCGUAGAUAUUCGCAAGAACACCAGUGGCGAAGGCGGCUGUCUGGUCCGUUUCUGACGCUGAGGCGCGAAAGCGUGAGGAGCAAACAGGAUUAGAUACCCUGCUAGUCCACGCCCGUAAACGAUGAAUGCCAGCCGUUGUCUGCUUGCAGCCCAGUGGCGCCGCUAACGCAUUAAGCAUUCCGCCUGGGGAGUA
rnacentral:rRNA from 1 species